GUGCUCAUUUAGGCAGCGCACAUACUAAAAUUUGCAAUGAUACAGAGAAGAUUAGCAUGGAUGGCCCCUGAGCAAGGAUGACACGCAAAUUUGUGAUGCGUUCCUUAUUUUU
ensembl:snRNA U6 U6 spliceosomal RNA